GGGGCCGUAGUACAGUUGGGAGUACGCUUGCAUGGCAUGCAAGAGGUCGGGGGUUCAAAUCCCCCCGGCUCCA
rnacentral:tRNA from 1 species